GAUGAAGAACGUAGCAAAAUGCGAUAAGUAAUGUGAAUUGCAGAAUUCAGUGAAUCAUCGAAUCUUUGAACGCACAUUGCGCCCGCCAGUAUUCUGGCGGGCAUGCCUGUUCGAGCGUCAUUUCAACCCUCAAGCACAGCUUGGUGUUGGGACUCGCGUUAAUUCGCGUUCCCCAAAUUGAUUGGCGGUCACGUCGAGCUUCCAUAGCGUAGUAGUAAAACCCUCGUUACUGGUAAUCGUCGCGGCCACGCCGUUAAACCCCAACUUCUGAAUGUUGACCUCGGAUCAGGUAGGAAUACCCGCUGAACUUAAGCAUAUCAAUAAGGGAGGA
rnacentral:misc_RNA from 1 species